CGGAAAAAGAAAAAAAAGACGAACCUGCGGCAUAAACGUGUCUAUUAAUUGUUCAAAAACGUUAAGAAAAUGUCUACUAAUAAGUUCGUUUAACACCUGGCUGAUAAGGCCACAAGCUCUUACGGUGUGUUCAGAGUGUGUUCAAGGUGUCAAAGGUUUUAAUGGAGCUCAAAAAUAAACACUUGUGAACCAUCAGUUAAAGAGUUCGACCAUCAUUCAGCCGGGGACGCUACAUCCACCGACGUGGAACCCAAACUCUGUGACCACGCAUACCCUAAUCAAUGACAGUGUAAACUCCAGGUAUUUGGGUGGUGUUACUUAACUCACCUGGAAGCACCUGGCCUGCCUUCCUGUUUUGCUCCAGACCUGGCAGAAUCACACUUUAGUGCCAUGUUAAAGGUUUACUUGGCUCGCGCCUUUUUAUUCGUCAUGUUCGGUACUUUUUGUUGUUGUUUUGAAGCAACAAAAUGUCGGAUUUCAACCUUCAAAUAAUGCCUCCAAUAUUAUCUUAACGGUCAACGUAGUCAAUGGCUAGUGGAGGGAUACUUGUUCGAGGGCGACCCGGUCCUGUUACUGUUGGACUAGUAAGUGUAAAACUUGUUUUAUAUACAUGUAUAUGUAGAGCAGAGGUGUCAAACUUCAUUUUGACUACAUCAUACAUGUGGCUGAGGCACACACGCUGUCAAGGGCCAAUCAAGGCCCUCAGUCAGAAUUUGUACAACCCACAGGUUUAGUUUUAUAUUAUUAUAGAAAAUCAGGGUUCGGUGUUUGAAACUCAGCUGUGACAGACAGAUACAUCCUUUAUUUUGUUAUUAUAUCUGACUCCAGAUGUGAUAGAAAGGCAGAAUUCUUUCAUUUUUUGUGGCUUAGAUUUGAUUACAUUGCCAUUUAAAAAUGAUGACUGUGACAAUGAAAAUACAAUUAUUAUAAAACUGUAUUUUUAUGUAACUUUUAGUGUUAAAUGUUCACAUUAUCAAAUCUGGCCCUCGCUUGCAACAUCCAUCCAUCCAUUGUCUAUCAAAACAAGCACAAUAUCAUCAUGAAUAUCUCUAUUGCAAUGUAUUAUUACCCACCCAUGACUAACACUUGUUUUUUUGUCUCUAGUCCGGCCCCCUCUUGACCAGACUAGAUGCUCAUUGGCCCCCAGGUCAUUUGAGUCUGACACCCCUGAUCUAGAGCAUUUGGGUUCACUGUGUGUCUGGCCGUCAUCAUGUCCAUCUCCUUCAUAAAUAGAUCGCGUCACUUCCUGCCCCUGGGUGUUUCCCCUCCAGUCUUGAUUGCCUGCCCUGCCCUGAUUGGAUUCACCUGUGUCUCGUUGUCUCCGUCCACCUCAGGUUCGGCCCGGCUCAAAUCCUCAGUACCAGUCCCCACCUCAGAGGUUGGAAUCCUCCGCUCUAACAUGAAUCUUGUGUGAGUGUGGCUGUACAGCUGAAUGGUUCGGGGGGCCUCUCUACAUGUGUCGGCCCUAAAUGGCUAUUUAAUUGCAGAGCUGCUGGUCGUGAGGCCCUGCUGCGUGGAGAUGAGAGCCUGAGUGCUUCAAUCCUGACCCCUUGAUCUCGCCUCUCAUUCCGUCUUUGCCUCCUUCGUUUUCUGUCAUCGGUGCUUUUGUCCCUCGCCCUCCCUCCCUCCCUCCCCCCCCCCGUCUCUUUUUACAGUGAACGCCGCACACUGGCCGCACAGAUGCAUUUCUCUCUGUGGUAAAUAGUCAAAUGUUCAUCCCAGCGGGGAGAAGGUCUCCUGCAGGGCUGAAGCUGGUCGGGCCAAGUUUGUUAAUCCACAUGAGUGUGGGGGCCUGGCAGGUGCCUGUGUUUUAAAGUAGCAAACAGUGACAUGGACAUAAAGAGAAAAGCACACACACACAACAGACGACGCUGCUCCAUCAUCUAAUAGGAGCAGCAGGUCGUGUGGAUAGUUCAAUAACCUUCACUGUCAAAAAGAAAACAAGAACAGUUUAAUUUACAUGUUAUUUGCAGUUUCAUAUUGGUACAGCAUAGUUGAAAUAACUUAUUUCUAAUGCAGCAUUGCAAUAAUACCUUGUUAUUUCUGAAGUCACAUCCAGGUUAUAGCUUGGACAUUAGAAUUACUGUAGGUUACCAUCUAUGUAAAGAAUGAUCACUUUAUCCAGUGCUAUAACCAAGCUAUUGCUUGAGAAACUGGCAUUGACAUGAUAUAACUUAACUUUUUUAAUACCAAGCUAUUACCACUAAACAAACAGAGCUUUGCACACAGCUUUUUUAUGUGUUAAAUAAAAACUGAAACACAAGGUGUAACUACUCCGAAGUACAAAACCAUUAUAUUUAAGCCUCCUGGUAGGAAGUCAACGAAUUGGAACUUCUGUGGUACGAGUGCUGCACCGAUCACUUUCAGGAGGUGAAGCAGACAUGGAAACAACUCAAUCACAGGAAGGAACUGUGUUGAUCUGCUUUGCUUAGAGACAGGAGGUCAUAUGUGCGGAGGAGGGGGGCGGAGCCUGCAGCUCAGGAUGUUGUUCUUUUUCGUUUGUGUGGUAAUUCUGCUGUAGAUACAUGGCGGCACAAAAUGGCAGCCUCUGUAAAGCAAGGGCCUUGCCUAAAAUAUAAAAAAACGCUUAUUCAAAAGCAGGGGUCUCUCAGACGACACGUUUGUGCGAUUGUACUUUUGCAUUACCGUAAUUACGCAACGGUUUGUGCUAUCGCCAUUUUUUUUAAAUUUGUUUUAUACUGUUUAGAUUAGAAUCUGGCGUUCAUGUACAACUUUUUGUUUUUCUUCAUUUGAAAUUGUUAAUACACUUAUUUAACUUGGUGUGAGUUGUAAAAAACUGCCACAUAUUGAAACUUAUUCUGGAAAAAUGGGAAUCAGAAACCAUUUUCUGGCCCUUUUAUGGAGAAUUAGGUGUUUAUGGGUUAAAAAAACAACAGAACUUAAUUAUUAUAACUAGAUUCAAAAUGGCGGGCUGCAUUAAAAUUGAUAGGAGGGCUGUAUUUAGCCCAUUGGUCAAAUUCAAGUUUGAAACCCCUGUUCUAAGGCAACAAAAAUCAAAUGUUUUUUUAAUUUUUUUUAUCAUGAAGCAAUUAUACACAUAUACAGACAUACUAGCAUAUAAUACAUUUCUACAAAUGUGCACUUCACUGGAUAUUUAAAAACUAAAACACCAGCUUCAACAUAAAAAAAUUCAGUUAUCACAACAAAAAAAAAAGAAUAAUCAUAUACUAACGAUUAGGUCUCAGUGUUCAGUGGUUAACAGACAGAUGGAUGGGCAGAUGGAAGGAGGGACAGUUUUGUGGUUCUGUCAGACUGAAGCAGGGGGGAUACUUAAUGAUCAAUUUCUUUGUUGUCCCUCCCAAACACUAAAUCCUCGUGAGCUUAAAUCGGAAAUAUUGCCACGCUGUUGUGUUUUUCUCCCCAAAGUUCAGAGGGAUUUAAAAGAA